ACAUGGUAGGAACAUUGAGAUGGAUUUAGAAUAAAACCAACAAGAAUAGGAUAAAUGAUUGAUAAAUUAUUUUAAGAAAAGGAGGCACAUAGAUUGAAAAUAAAAUGGUGGAGAACCAAAAUUAGAUGGUACAUGAAGAGUUAAGAAAGCCUUGGCAGUAAAAUACUCAAUUUGUAUAGAACAGGUGCAGAGGAAGGGAAGUCUAAAAUCAUCUUUAUGGAAAUAGUGAUAGUGGAUAUAGAACAUGCGAUGAAUAAAAAAAUAAGCAUGCAGCAGCAUACAAAAGGAGGGGAAGUUUGUCACAUGGUAGGAACAUUGAGAUGGAUUUAGAAUAAAGCCAACGAGAAUAGGAUAAAUGAUUGAUGCAUUAUUUUAAGAAAAAGAGGCACAUAGAUUGAAAAUAAAAUGGUGGAGAACCAAACUUAGAUGGUACAUGAAGAGUUAAAGAAAGCCUUAGCAGUAAAAUGCUCAAUUUGUAUAGAACAGGUGCAGAGGAAGGGAAGUCUAAAAUUGUCUUUAUGGAAAUAGUGAGAGUGGAUAUAGAACAUGCGAUGAAUAAAAAAAUAAGCAUGCAGCAGCAUACAAAAGGAGGGGAAGUUGGACGACAUCAAGGAACAAUGGCAGGCCAAUGGGUAGACCAUUAAGAAAAUAUUACUAGUGCUAGCAAUAGUAGUCUAAGUCAAGUGAUUCUUAUGAUGACCUUAUACUAAUAUUCUAAUAGUUCAUAUUUCUUUGCACCUGUCGAGAUGAACUUACAGCUAAUGUUCAGGAAGGGGUUUUGCAGUUUGUGCAAAUUGUGAUAACUGAUUGGAUGGUGAUAGAUUAGAAUGUUAAAAUUAUUUUUGAACUACAAUUGUCUAUAAGUCACUUGAUCUAGAACAGAAUAUAUAUUUUGACAACAACUGGCCUGGGACAAAAUGAUGAUCAACAAAUACCCAACAGAAACAAUUAUUUUCUGUCUUUUCUCUAUAAUGAAAAUAAAUGCCUAUAUAGCCUAAGACAUCUCACAUAUCUAACAGAUAUGAGUAACUUGAUAAAAUGGAGAUGAUUUUGUUUGAGUAAGGUUUGCUUGUGAUGAUUUCUUAUGGUAGUGCUCUGUCAAUUUGCAUCUAAAAAUGCCUGUACUACUUUCCAAAUUUGUUGGUGAAUUAAGCUCGACUUGGUGACUGGAUAUGACCCCUAUAUUUGCAUUGGAAAUUAACUUGAUUCAUAUGGUUAUGUUUUAUCAUAUGAUGCAAAAAAUGAUUUACUCAAUAUUUGUUGAUGCAGUUGCCAAACCCAUGCAGAUGGGACAAGGCAUUACUGUUCAGAUGUGAUUAAUGACUCAGACUUACCCCUGGUGGUUUGAUCUGGCCUCCAAUGAAUGAAUUGCAGAAAAGCUCAUUUUUUGUCAUAUGAUUAUGCUUAGGGAUAUUAUAUGGAUGAUGAUUAUAUGUCUGCAUUUUGUGCAAUUGUCGUUCCUUAAUAGUCUUGAAUAAAGCUUACUCUUUAUGACUAUGGCGGUCCAUUUCAGAAGCACAGUGCUGUUCAAAAUAUACUGGUGAAUCAGAUUGCUCCGUUGACUUGAUUUGGCCUGAUUUAACUUGUUUUUGGGGCCUUGACCUGGUUACUGCCUAGGAAACCUCUAAGUCCAAAUCACACAGCUUGUGUUUUUCUUUCUUCAUUCAAUAAAUAAAACUACAAAAGAAAGAAAAGAAGAGAGGGAAAAAGAGCACCGAAGGUAAAAAGUGAAGUGAUAUUCAACACAACUCAUAAAAAAAGGGCAUUUGAGGAGCGUCAGAUGUACGCAUCCUUGCCCUUGAGUGUGGAAAGGCUGUUUCCAUGAUUUGAACCCGUGACACCCAGGUCACUAUAGAGCAACCUUGAAUUGUUUCGCCAAGGCCCACCCUAACAUAAAACUCAAAACCAUUUUGGUGAAUUCCUGGGACCAUGCAGGCAUGCUAUUUUCUUAUCAUUUAUAUGUAAAAACAUAUUUCCAGGUACAUGAAGUUUCAUUAAAAGUAUCUUUAAAUUUCUUGAAAUUUCCUUGACAUAGCAAACAAGCACGCUGAUUAUGAUUGAACAUUGAAUGGUAUCUUCCUCUUUUUUUUUUUGAAAAUUAUUCAUUAUCAUGCACCGGUUGCCUUUAAAAUGCUCAAUUUUCUAAGAUUUAGUAAAUCAUAAGCUAGGAUGUGUUUAAGAAAUAUUUCAUAUAUGUUGCAUACCAUAGCAAAUAAAUCUUUCAUGCAGUUUCUACAUGUUUGUGCUAUUUGCUUAGAAUUUCUCGAUUUUUUUUUCUAAUUUAACUAAUUAUUUUUGAUCCAAAAAAUAAACCCAGUGAAAAUGAUAGUUUAAGUAGUAUUGCUGAAACCAGACAGUUGGGACAAGGCAUGCUUGCUAUGAUUAUGACAAGGAUUGGUGCACUCCAAUAAGGUUCACAAUGUACUAGCUAGCGCUGUGGUAUCUCAACCAUGUCUAGUUUUUUUCCUGGGCACAACCUCUUGCCCAAUCUAUUUGGAUCUGUAUAUUGGUUAGUAAGAAGUGUCAAAGUUAUAAGACGGCUGUCUUAUAACACUGAGGGUGGCUAUAAUAAAUAUUUGAGAGAUUUUGGUGAGAACUGAGUAUCAAGAAUGACAGGAGGUUGCAGCAAUUGACUUGCUGGAAAUAUGAUAAUUAUGGUUUAGGUUUUGUCUAAUGAAUAUAAAGUGGCUUCAUGAGGAUAGGAAUCAUAGGACUGAUGUUUUCCUUUUCUUUGUCGGUAAGAGAAGAGCUUUGAGGGGAAAAUCUAAAUAUAGGGAAUGUUAUAUGAGAUGAUUUUAAAAGUAGAACUAAGGCUGGUGAUCUAUUUGUUAGGAAUAUACCUCAAGGAAGACUGAUUUUGGGCCCCAAAUAUUGGGGAAAAAAAUGUCGGUUGUGGCCGUAGUCAUUUAUUUUGUGCAUGUUUAAACACCAUUCAUUUGACUGAUUUGGUCAUCAAUCAUGCAUGCCCUGGUUAUUGGAGCUGAACCCUUGAUAGUAGCAUC
rnacentral:lncRNA from 1 species